GAGGAUAUAGCUUAGUGGUAGAGUGGGUGCUGAGGUCCUGGGUUCAAUCCCCAGUACCUCCA
rnacentral:tRNA from 1 species